UGAUGGUGUGGGCGUGUCACCGGGCCUGGGGAGGGUCGGGGGGGCAAGGUCGGCUGCAGGCGGAUGUAUCUUCCCUGGACUGUAGGGUGUGCGGGUCCGAAGGGGGCGAGACCCCAUCAUUAGCCUCAUCGUAUGCCCUCCCUUUCCUAGUUUUCAGUUUCAGAAAGCUCAGCAGUGCCAGUCACUACGGAGGCUUCCUGGGACAUAUCCCAACACUAAGAGAAAAAGAGGUUUUGUAGUGUCCAGAUCCAAGGGCAUCUCCCAGCUGGAGGAGAAGGAGAUGCCAUGGCCCUGCUGGGGUCUUUAUAUCCAGAUUCUCAGGUCAAGACAAGGUACAAACAGUUAACUCCAAAGGGAAAAAAUCUUUUGAAAAAAAAUUACAAAGAGUAACCCAGAAAGUUUUCCUAAGAGGCAAUCCAAAGGAGUCUGAGUCUAAACUAGCUUAUGGGACUGAAAUAGGAGCAGAACACUCAUGGAAAAAAGUCACAAUAAAGGGCAGGAGGAAGUUCUUUUCCCAAAAGAGAGGUUGAUGGCGAGUGACCAGCUCUCCCCUCAAAACCAGUUUAGCAGAGAAAGACCAGGAAUGCCACAAAUUAGAGAAAAAUUUGUCUCUUGACACAAAGUUUAUUGCUCAUCAGAGGGACAGGCCUGCAGAGAGAGCCACUAGAUGGAGGACACAUGGCCAAGGCUUUCUGUGGGAGCCAGGCCUGAGUGGACAGGAGACAGGUCCUGGUGGGUCAAAGCUCCUUAGAUGUCAUGUGUGUGGAAAAUCUUUCAGCAAAAAUUUACACCUUAGUCAACAUCAGAAAACUCACCCUUGAGAGAAGACCUGUUGAUAUAUCCAGUGUGGAUGAAUAUUCAAUCACAACUCAAUCCUGUGGAGAGAAACCCUAUAUGUGUAAUGAAUGUGGCAUUUGUGAUUUCAAGAGGCAUCAAAGCUUGUGAAACAUCAGAGAAUUCACACUGGAGAAAAUUCCUGC
ensembl:lncRNA